rnacentral:rRNA from 1 species
UACGUAGGGGGCAAGCGUUGUCCGGAUUUAUUGGGCGUAAAGAGCGUGUAGGCGGCUAGAUAGGUCCGUUGUGAAAACUCGAGGCUCAACCUCGAGACGUCGAUGGAAACCAUCUGGCUAGAGUCCGGAAGAGGAGAGUGGAAUUCCUGGUGUAGCGGUGAAAUGCGCAGAUAUCAGGAAGAACACCUAUGGCGAAGGCAGCUCUCUGGGACGGUACUGACGCUGAGGAGCGAAAGCGUGGGGAGCGAACAGG